UCCCUGGUGGCCCAGUGGUAAGAACUCAGCGCUGUCACUGUUGGGGGCCUGGGUUCAAUACCCGGUUGGGGAA
rfam:Ovis aries breed Texel chromosome 5, whole genome shotgun sequence.